AGCAACUGUAGCUAAAGGAAUUAGAACAGGGAGAACUUGCUGCCAGGGACAAAAGGAAGCAAACAGCCCAGGCUGAUGGUGCACCAGAGCCAGAUCUAAAGCUUUGGGAAGGAGUAUGGAUCUACAGUGUGACUGUCAGUGCAGCUGAUAAGCAAAACCUCUACUCCAAUUUCUGCAACCUAGGGAAACAUUUUAAAUUUUAACCUGGAUUUCAUUAAAAUGUUUCUUCAGCUGUGUGAAGGGCUGUGAAGAAGUGGGAGAAAGAGCAGAGUGUGACAAAAAUAUGACAAAGGAGUUAAGAAAAACAUUUCAGGAACAAAGAGAACUAAUUAACUCAAGCAUAUGGUUCAUCUCAUUCUGGUAAGAGCUAAAUGCCUUUUAUGCACUCCAACUGUUCAAAGUACCAUGGUGUGGCUACCCAUAUGAUCAUAAAGAGAGAAACUAUUAAAAAGCAUUGAAAUUCAUAAUGCAUACUAUAUUUUACAUAAUAAUAAUCCUUUCCUUCCUAAUGUGUCGUUCCAAUAUAUUAAAAUUUCUGGUUAAUUAGAAAUUUUUAAAAAAUGAUGACAAAUAUAAUAUAUGCCAAAGUUGAGUAGAUUUCUUUUAGUGUUUCAGAAAUAUCAGUGGUUAAAAAAUAGUUAUUCCUUAAUUCUAUGAAGAUUGAAGUAAAUAAUGUGCAGAAAAAUGUAAUGAAUCUUUACUACUUCCGGACAUUUCUCUAAGUGUAUUCUCUAAGUGUAAUAGCUUCGAAAAUUCUUUUGUGAACGACCUCUUUCUCUUAAAUGUGUAUUUUAGAAUACAAGGAAGGCAUCAUAGUAAAUUGAGUUUUGAAUGAGAUUCACACUCCUAUAUAAUUUCUGUUUAACACAAAAUAUUUCCAAUCUAAUUAUUUCAAAGCAACAUCUUCAGAAGAAACAUUAAAUUUUUUAAUUAAAAAAAUUUUAAAUUAUUUUUAUUCUUUCCCAAACUAAAUACUUCAUUUUCUAUUGAUAUUUACUGGAGAGUGUUGUUACUGGUCAUUCUGAAUACCCAUGCCCUGCUAUUGUCCUAAGUAGACCAAGUAGUGAAUGAAGAUUUGCUCUUAUUCUCUACAAAAGGUUAUUUUCUGCCUUAAGUAUCUGCCAGGGGCUCCCUAAUUUGUGAUCUUCUCAAAAGUGUGACUCAAACCUCAUCUACCUCUCAGUCAUCCUCAGACUUGAGCUGACAUCGGAAUCUCCUGCGGGCUUGUUCAAACACAGAGUGCUGGGUUGCACCCCCAGAGUUUCUGAUUCAGUAGGUCUCAGGUGGGACCUGAGAGUUGUGUUUCUGACAUGUCACAGAUAAUACUGGUGUUGCUUGCUGGUCCAGGGACUAUACUUGAGAACCUCUGUGUUUGAGGAAAUCUUCCCUGAAAAACCAAACUCUGAUCAGUUGCAUAUCCUGAGAGCUCUUAGCAUUCAUCAUCGAAGUGUAGUAUAUACAUUUUAACAUUCAGUGAUACAUUUCAAAAUUAUUUUCAAAUCUUAUUUAAUUUGUAAAUUCAGUAACAAUAAGAAUGAUCCUAUUUCUUCUGUGUUUUUCAGUGUAUCAGGUACUUUGUCCCUCAUAAAAUGCCGUUUUUUAGCAG
ensembl:lncRNA